rnacentral:rRNA from 1 species
UGCUAUCAUGCAGUCGAACGCUUUUUCUUUCACCGGAGCUUGCUCCACCGAAAGAAAAAGAGUGGCGAACGGGUGAGUAACACGUGGGUAACCUGCCCAUCAGAAGGGGAUAACACUUGGAAACAGGUGCUAAUACCGUAUAACACUAUUUUCCGCAUGGAAGAAAGUUGAAAGGCGCUUUUGCGUCACUGAUGGAUGGACCCGCGGUGCAUUAGCUAGUUGGUGAGGUAACGGCUCACCAAGGCCACGAUGCAUAGCCGACCUGAGAGGGUGAUCGGCCACACUGGGACUGAGACACGGCCCAGACUCCUACGGGAGGCAGCAGUAGGGAAUCUUCGGCAAUGGACGAAAGUCUGACCGAGCAACGCCGCGUGAGUGAAGAAGGUUUUCGGAUCGUAAAACUCUGUUGUUAGAGAAGAACAAGGAUGAGAGUAGAACGUUCAUCCCUUGACGGUAUCUAACCAGAAAGCCACGGCUAACUACGUGCCAGCAGCCGCGGUAAUACGUAGGUGGCAAGCGUUGUCCGGAUUUAUUGGGCGUAAAGCGAGCGCAGGCGGUUUCUUAAGUCUGAUGUGAAAGCCCCCGGCUCAACCGGGGAGGGUCAUUGGAAACUGGGAGACUUGAGUGCAGAAGAGGAGAGUGGAAUUCCAUGUGUAGCGGUGAAAUGCGUAGAUAUAUGGAGGAACACCAGUGGCGAAGGCGGCUCUCUGGUCUGUAACUGACGCUGAGGCUCGAAAGCGUGGGGAGCGAACAGGAUUAGAUACCCUGGUAGUCCACGCCGUAAACGAUGAGUGCUAAGUGUUGGAGGGUUUCCGCCCUUCAGUGCUGCAGCAAACGCAUUAAGCACUCCGCCUGGGGAGUACGACCGCAAGGUUGAAACUCAAAGGAAUUGACGGGGGCCCGCACA